GACGAACGCUGGCGGCGUGCUUAGCACAUGCAAGUCGAACGGAAAGGCCCUGCUUGCAGGGUACUCGAGUGGCGAACGGGUGAGUAACACGUGGGUGAUCUGCCCUGCACUUCGGGAUAAGCUUGGGAAACUGGGUCUAAUACCGGAUAGGAGCCAUCUUUAGUGUGGUGGUUGGAAAGUUUUUUCGGUGUAGGAUGAGCUCGCGGCCUAUCAGCUUGUUGGUGGGGUAAUGGCCUACCAAGGCGGCGACGGGUAGCCGGCCUGAGAGGGUGUACGGCCACAUUGGGACUGAGAUACGGCCCAGACUCCUACGGGAGGCAGCAGUGGGGAAUAUUGCACAAUGGGCGCAAGCCUGAUGCAGCGACGCCGCGUGGGGGAUGAAGGCCUUCGGGUUGUAAACUCCUUUCGCUAGGGACGAAGCUUUUUGUGACGGUACCUAGAUAAGAAGCACCGGCUAACUACGUG
rnacentral:rRNA from 1 species